rnacentral:lncRNA from 1 species
CGGCCUCCACGGCGGCUCUUCCAAAGUUCCUAAGCUAGAAGAAAAUUUAUAUUGUGUCUUGUAUCUUGGUUCUUCAUUUCCCUAAAGAAUAAUUUUUCAUGCCCUAUUUAUAGACAUAGAAACUCUAAAUAAAUAAUUAAGUACAAGACAAAUUAGAAAAACAAAACCCAAUUAAAUUGGGUUUCCAAUUGCUCGCUGGAUUUCUUCAAAUUGUUGGCGGCAAAGGGGCGGUUAGCUAUAGACACGUGGCAGCAGCGAGCCAAAUUCAAUUUGAAUUGGCAAUUCGUUCACAUUGGCCUCAUAUGUAUAAAUAUAUUAUUUUAAUAAAUUUAAUCCAUUAAGUUGUUUGUUGGAUUUCCUUCUUCAACUUUCCAUCUUUAAUUCGUUUUAGCUCCAAACUUCAUCAUUUUUCACCAAUUUAAUCCUACACAUAAAAUACACAAUUUAGUACAAUCCAUAAAAUUCAUGCUCAGAAAGGACAAAUAUAAAUAAUAAAUGUGAGGAAAUAAUGAUUAAAAAUAUGUAUUUUUAGCCUCACAUCAUUAAUUUACUUUUAGUUUUUAUAGCGACAUAAUUAUAAAUCCAUAGCUAAUCCAUCGUUAUAUAGCGACGAAAAUAUGUUUGUUGCUAAAAUUCAUCACUAAACGCUGAUUUUUUUGUAGUGAUAUUUUUAUAUAAAAAUGUGGAUAAAUUCUGCAGGCUCUUCUAUACCCAUAUAUCUGUCAUUAGACGUGUAACAAAUUAACUGAAUAGCUCCAAGGUUUGACAAGUUCUGAAUAUCCCAUAUUUUGCACAUUUUAUCCUAGUUCAAAUUGCAAACGUUAGGCCAUCAGGAUGCCACCUUGAUGCAAAUGAGUAGUCCACAAGUCCACACAAAGGAUAAAAAAAUACUUCCAUUCCUACAGUCAACCAAAAAACCUAUCACGAUCAACAAGCAAAAAACAAGCACCAUAAAUCUUCUCCCCAAGAUCAAUUAGUUGGAGUGUAAUAUGUCGUAUCAACAAAGAUAUGAAGUUUAUUACAUAGAAGAUGACUAUGAAAUGGAAGAACUAGAUUAUUUUGUUGAUGAGUUCCAAGGCGUAGACUUGGGUGGCUUUGAUUCGGUUGAAGAUGAGUUGCACGGCAUAGACUUGGAUGACUUUGAUUUGGAUGUAGAUGAGCUCUUAGACGUAGGCUUAGGUGGAUUUGAUUCAGAUGUAGAUGAGUACGAUUACAUGAAUAAAAGAAUGUAAGAUAUUUUGGCUACAGAGGUAAGGAAGCGCAAAGAUAUUAAAGGGAUCCCCUAGAAAGGGAGACAACUAAGCAAAGAAGACUACAACGCUAUCAGAACUAUGAAAAUAUUCCUCACUCUGGUUAGACAUCAGAAAAGGAGUGCAAAACCACGAAGAAAGGUAAUUUAAACUAUCAUUUCAUAUGGAAAGGAAGAUUCAUAACAUCAACGUCCUCUCAUCCCCCGCUGAGGAAUUUGGUUUGGAUACCUUUUAACCAUGAUGAGUGCAUGAUGUCUAAUUUUUUCAGUCAUCUGUUGCACUAACGUCCUCUCAACCCCAGUUGUGGAAGUUGGUUUGGGCACCUUCGAAGCAUGAUGUGUACCUGAUGUCUCAUUUCUUUGAAAUUCAUUGUUCAAUUGAUUUGGUGAAAACUGAAAUUCUCAAUUUAUCAAGGCAUGUAGCGCCACUCUUGAAAAAUCUUUAAAUCCUUUUAGAGGGAUUUAGGGAGAUCCUAGAAAGCACUCUUGCCGUAAAAGAUAAGUUGCUUUUUACUAGCGGAUUGCAAGGAGAACUUAUUGUCAAGUAUUUAGAUAAGCUUGGAGUUUUCUUUUGUUCUCGUUGACCUAAGUCGAGGAUGUCAUUACCACUGCUAUUGAGAUUAAAAAAAACUGCCGGAGGUGCACUUCAUUUUAUAGCUUCAAAUAAUGAUUCUAGAGUUAGAGAUUUUGAUUUCGAGAAAUUUUAAAUAUCUAACCAUUUCCAUUUUCCCGAGCCAGUGAAUCAUAGAUCACUCAGUCCUGAUGACAAUCUCUAACUCCAGGAUGGCAUCACUGGCCAGGGAAAUUGGAAAUGAUUAGAUAGUUGAGAUUUCUCCAAAUCGAAAACUCUAACUCUAGAAUCAUUAUUUGAUGUUAUAAAACAGAGUGCACCACUGAUAGUGUUGUUAAUGUUAAUAGCAAUGGCAAUGGUAUAAUUGUUAUACGUUGGUCAAGAACAGAAGCAAACUCCAAGAUUAUCUAAAUACUUGACGAUUAGUUCUCCUUGCAAUCUACCAGCAACAAGCAACUUAUCUUUCACAACAAGAAUAAUUACUCGUGUCUCUGUAAAUCACUCUUAAAGGCUUCCAAGUUGUUUAUCGAGUGGCUCUACAUGCCUUGAUAAAUGCACAAUUAUUGUUUUUGUGCAGGUCCAUGAUGACUAGUGAAUGAUAUAAAAAUGAGACAUCAGAAGAUGCCUCGACAAAAUUCCUCAGUUGGGGGUGAGGAAAUGUUGAUAAAGAGGAUCUUGUAUUCCAUAUGAAAUCAUUGUACAAAUAGUCACCCUAUCCUAGAAAGUUGCCGGAAAUUGACGCACAUUGCUCUGUCUAGCUGUGUUUUCUUCCCCUGAAUAUGGGGUUCAUACAUAUAUUGAUGGCUCUACUUUUAUUAAUAUAACCAUUGGCCAACUUGGUGGCAUAUAUUGGUUAUAGUCGCCUGCCAGCAACGAUAGCUAUUUGAUUCUCUAUCCGGAUCGUAGAAGCUCCAUUACAAUUUGAGAAUUAUUAUUGAAUUGCGUAUCUACAUUAUUACAUUGAGAUCAUAUCUAUAGAUACUACAUUAGACUCCUUUCUCGACUAGGAAAGUACAGCACUAUUCUUUUCCAAGUAGGAUUAUAUAUUUUUAUUUUUAUUUUAUGACUGUUAUGAUCGGAUCAUCUUUCAUGCACCCCGACAAAAUUUACAAGAGACCUACCACCUCCCUAGCAACAAGUAUCAGGUAACUCUGUUCACUAAGGCUAGUACAGAUGGAAUGAAUCAGCUACUGUUUUUAUCUCUGCUGUGGUUUGACCUUAAGACGUAGGAAUCUCAACCACUUCAUUGACCACUCGGCCACACCCUAGGGUACCAAAUAGGAUUUUAUAUACUAAUCCUUUUCCAAGUAGGUGGCCUGUGUUAUAAAGGAGACCACACUCAGUUUUGUCAUCCAUUCUACCCUCAAAGUGCUUAUAUUAUUUCAUCAAGAUAUGAAUAGUUGUGUCAUCACCCAAACUCAAGGAGGCUACUAAAUAUGUGAUUCCACACGCCAAUGAUAAGGGACUCUCUAUCAGGACUAAAAGACACUCGUGAUAUCUCACCAGAGAAAUCAUUUUCUUAUUCCACCUCCUAUCCACAUUUAACAAAAAAUAAUGUAAAAAAAUUCUAUAAGCUCAGCCAUACCCAUAAAUAUUUCAUCACAUGUCUAGCAGAUUGACCGAAAGCUCCAAAGUUACCCUUCAAAGUAGAGACUAACUUAGACAAGUUUUGAAUAUCCCAUAAUUUGCAUGUUUUAUUAUGGUCCUCAUUUGCAGACGUUAGGCCAUCAGGAUGUCACGAUAAUGCAAAUGAGUAGUCCAUAUGUCUACAUAAAGGAGAAACAACCUUUCUAUUCCUGGAGUUAAUGAAAAACCUAUCGCGAUCAAUGGCGGAUCCAGGAAUUAAGCUCAAGGGGUUCGAAAUUUAAAGAAGAAGCUCAUGUGGUAAUGUAAGUGCGCGGUGAGCGUAGUAACCCCGACAUGCUUUUUGUACAAGGUAUCUCAUUGGUUGAUAAAAGUUAACACUUCUUAAAAUUUCUUGUACUUUUUAUACUUUUAUUUUGUAAUGUUUUACUUUAUUUUGCAUUUUAAAUUUUUUUGAAUUAGUAUCCAUUCAAACACAUAUUACUAGGAAAAUUCUCAAGAUUCUCUAAAAGUGUGUAAGUAUAGAUUUACUAAUAUUAUAAUGCAUAUUCAGAAGAUAAAUAAAUGGCAUCGUCAAUUUUUUAGUUCAUGUAGUUUAAUUUACUAGGUUAGUCAUCACUUGUUGAAAAAAAUGACGAAUAAAUCAAAUAAGUUUUGUUUUCAUCUCUCUAAAAUAGAAUUGGAAAAAUAGAAAAGAAAUUCCAUGAAUUCUAUUAAAUAUAUAUUAUUAAAAGGAUAUUGACGAUUUUUAGUUUCUUCAUUCAAUUACAUCUAAUUUAUCUUUAUAUAUAUAAUUCAUCAUUUUUAAAGAGUUAUACAUAAAAUUAUAUUGAAAUAAAAUGACUAAUAGAUAUAAGAAGAAUUAAAAAAAAUGUGUCUAAUAAAUUUAAACAAAAACAAAUUAGAAAAAAAUGACAUAAAAGAAAUAAUGAAAAAGAGAAGCUGAUCCAAACCCAAAAAUUGUCCCCAAUUCCAUGAAUUAAAAAGGGUAAAAAAAUAAGAGAAGAGGAAUUGAUGCGCAUGGGAUUCGAACUCACGACGUAAAGCCACUGUUGAACCCCUUAUCCAUUGAGCUAAAGCUUCUCACUUAUUAUCAGAGGGUUCAUUUUAAUAUAUGUACACAUAAAAUCAGAAUUUGGCCCUAUAUAUAUAACGUAAUUUUUCAACCAAGGGGGUUCACCCGAACCCCCCCUAGACACUAAAUUUCCAUCUCAAGAUCAUUUAGUUGGAGUGUAACAUGUCCCAUCAACAAGGAGAUGAAGCCGAUUACGUAGCAAAUUAAUAUGAAAUGAAAGAACUAGAUGUAUUAAUUGAUUAGUUCCAACGCGUAGACUUGGGUGGCUUUGAUUCGGAUGUAGAUGAGUUGCAAGGCAUAGACUUGGAUGACUUUGAUUUGGAUAUAGAUGAGUUUCUAUGCAUAGACUUAGGUGACUUUGAUUCAGAUGUACAUGAGUAUGACUACAUGAAUAAAAGAAUGCAAGAUAUUUCGGUUGUUGAGGUAAGGAAUGACAAAGGUAUUCAAGGGAUCCCUAAGGAAAGGGUUACCAUAACUAGGGAGACAACUAGGCAAAGAAGACUACAACGCUAUCAAAACUAUGAAAAUAUUCCUUAAUCUGGUGAGAUAUCAGAAAAGGAGUGCAAAACCAUAAACAAAGAUGAUUUAUACUAUGAUUUUAUAUCGAAUGCAAGAUCUAUUACAUCAACGUUUUCUUACCCUAGCUAAGAAAUUUGGUUUGGGCUCCUUCUAAGUAUGAUGUAUACCUGAUGUCUCAUUUUUCUAUCAUUGAUUGGUCAUCAUUGACAUGUGCUAAAACUGAAAUUCUCAAUUUAUCAUGGGAUGUAGCGCCACUAGAGAAUCAUCCUGAAAGCUUUUUAGAGGAAUUGAAGGAGACAUUAGCAAGAACUCUUGUUGUGAAAGAUAAGAUUUUUGUUACUAAUGGAUUGCAUGGAGAACUUAUCGUCAAGUAUUUAGAUAAGACUUGAGUUUUCUUUUAUUCAUGCCAACCUAUGUCGAUGAUGUCAUUACCACUUCUAUUGAGAUUAACAGCACUGUCAGUGGUGCACUUCAUUUAAUAGCUUCAAAUUAUUGAUGGCAAUCUUUAACUCCAGGAUGACAUCACUGGCUAGGGGAAUUGGAAAUAAUUAGACUAUUGAAAAUUUUCUCCAAAUCAAAAAUCUCUAACUCUAGAAUUAUUAUUUGAAGCUAUAAAAUGAAGUGCACCACUAAUAGUAUUAGUAAUCUUAAUAGCAGUGACAGUGGCAUCAUCGUCAUAUAUCAACCGAGAACAAAAGCAGACUCUAGGAUUAUCUAUGUUCUUGACGAUUAGUUCUCUUUGCAAUCCUCUAGAAACUUACUUUUCACAGUUAGAGUGCUUACUAGGGUCUCCGUAAAUCCCUCUAAAAGGCUUUCAAGAUGUUUCUCGAGUGACGCUACAUGACCUGAUAAAUUGAAAAUUUUAGUUUUUGCACUGGUCAAUGAUGACCAGUGAAUGAUAGAAAAAUGUGACAUUAGGUACACAUCAUGCUUAGAAGAUUCUCAUACCAAAAUUCCUCAGUUGGGGGAGAGAUAAUGUUGAUGUAAUGUAUCUUGCAUUCCAUCUAAAAUCAUAGUAUAAACUGUCUUUCUUUGUGGUUUCUCUCUUUUUCUGAUGUCUCACCAGAUUGAGGAAUAUUUUCAUAGUUCUGAUAGCGUUGUAGUCUUAUUUUCCUACUCGUCUCCCUGGUUAUGGUAACCCUUUCUUAUGGGAUCCCUUGAAUAUCCUUUACCUUCCUCACCUCGACAGCUAAAAUAUCUUAUGUAAAGAUAUGACACCUGGGCCUAACUCAACCCCAAAACCUAAUUCAUGAAGGUAGGUUUGUCCAAGUCCACAUAAGGAGACAAAUUUUCCAUCCCUCUACCAAUGUGAGACUUCUUAACAUCUUGGAUUCUUUUGUUCAUGUAUUCAUACUCAUCUACAUCCUAACCAAAGCUAUCUAAGUCUACGGACGCUUUGGAAAUCAUCUACAUCCAAAUUAAAGUCAUUCAAAGUUUAUGCCUUGCAACUCAUCUACAUCUUAAUCAAACCCACCCAAGUCUACGCCCUAGAACCCAUCAAUAAAAUCAUCUAGUUCUUCCAUUUCGUAUUCAUCUAAUACAUAAUCAACAUCAUCUACUUGUUGAUGGGACAUGUUACACUCCAACUAAUUAUCUUGGGGCAAAAAUUUAGGGUGCCUAUUUUUCUCUUGUUGACCACUGUUGGUUUUUUGGUUGACUCCAAAAAUGGAGAAGUUGUUUAUCCUUUGUGUGGACAUGUGGACUACUCAUUUGAAUCAUCUUGGCAUUCUGAUGGCCAAACGUUUGCAAGUGGGAAUAAAUAUAAAUGUGUAGAAUAUGGAAUAUUUGAAAACUUAUCCAAGUCAGUCACUACUUUGAAGGGUAACCUUGGAGGUAUUUGGCCAAUCUGCUACAUGUCUGAUUACAGAUUUAUGUGCAAGGUAGAGCUAGUAGAAUUUUCUAAUCUUUUUUAAUGUAAAAUGUGGAAAUCAUAGUAAAAACAAGCACCCUACCCUAGAAAGUCUUCAGAAAUUGACGCACGGUGAUCUGUUUGGUUGAGUUUGCUUCCCCUGAAUAUGGGGUUCAUGCAUAUAUCAUUGGCUCUAGUUUUUUUAACAUAACCAUUGGACAGAUGGGCAGCAUAUAUUGGUCAUAGUCGUGUGCUAGCAGCAGAAGCUUUUUGAUUCUCUACCAGGAUCGUAGAAUCUCUAAUAUAAUUUGAGAAAUAUUGGAGAAAAUAUUAUUGAAUUAUGUUUCUACAUAAUUACAUUAAGACCCUAUUUAUAGAUAUUACAUCAGAUUUCUUUUUCGACUAGGACAUUACAGUACAAUCAUUUUUCAAGUAGGAUUCUAUCUUUUUUUUAUUUUUUUUAUGAUCUGGUGUUCGGAGUAGCUUUCGUACACCUCGACUAAAUCCACGGAUUAACUACCACCUACUCUUUCCACCAAGGCUGGGGCCUAAGGUUCUCAACCACUUCAUUGACCACUAGGUCACACCCUUUUGUUCCAAGUAAGUGGCCUAUGCUAUAAAGGAUACCACACUAUGUUUUAUCGUUCAAAUGACUAGAGAUCUUCUAGCUUUCAAAUAGCAUGAUAAAACAAAUAUUAACCUAUAUAUAAUCAUCUUCUACCUUCAGUGUGCUCGUAUUAUUGCAUCAAGGUAUGAAUAGUUGUAUGGUCACCCAAACUCAAGGAGGCUACUAAAUGUGUGAUUCCACAUGCCAAUGACAAGGGACUUUGUAUUAGAACUAAAAGACACUCCUCAUAUCUCACCGCAAUAAUCAAUUUCUUUCUCCACCUCAAAUCCACAUAUUACUUUAAAAAUGCAGAUAAAUUAUACAAGCUAUGCCAUGCCCAUAAAUCUGACAUCAGAUGUGUAGCAGAUUUAUCGAAUAGCUCCAAGGUUCCUCUUGAAAGUAGUGAUUGACUUGGACAGGUUCUGAAUAUCCCAUAUACGGCAUGUUUUAUCCUAGUUCCAAGUUUCAAAUGUUAGGACAUCAGGAUGUUGGCUGAUGCAAAUGAGUAGUUCACAUGUGCACACAAAGGAGAAAUAGCCUUUCCAUUCCUGGAGUCAACCAAAAAACCUAUCACGAUGAAAAGGAAAAAAGCAAAGACCCUAAAUUUUCGCCCCAAGAUCAUUAGUUGGAGUGUAACAUAUCCCAUCAACUAGGAUAUGAUGUUGAAUACGUAGUAGCUGAAUAUGAAAUGGAAGAGCUAGAUGAUUUGAUUGAUGAGUUCCAAGGCAUAAACUUGGGUGGUUGUGAUUCAGAUGAAGAUGAGUUGCAAGAUAGACUUGGAUGACUUUGAUUUUGAUGUAUAUGAGUUCCUAAGCAUAGGCUUAGGUGGUUUUUAAUUUGGAUGUAGAAGAGUUUGAGUACAUGAAUAAAAGAAUGCAAGAUAUUCCGGCCGCUGAGGUAAGGAAGGGCAAAGAUAUUGGAGGGAUCCCGUGGGAAAGGGUUACCAUAGCCAGGGAGACAACCAGGCAAAGAAGACUACAACGCUAUCAGAACUAUGAAAAUUUGCCUCAAUCUGGUGAGACAUCAUAAAAGGAGUUCAAAACCACAAAGAAAGACAGAUUAUACUAUGAUUUCAGAUGGAAUGCAAGAUCCAUUACAUCAACGUUCUCUCACUCCCACUAAGGAAUUUAGUCUGGGCACCUUCUAAUCAUUAUGUGUACCUGAUGUCUCAUUUUUCUCUCAUUCAUUGGUCAUCAUUGUCCUACGUAAAAAAUUAAAACUCUCAAUUUAUCUGGGAUGUAGCACCACUCGAGAAACAUCUCAAAAACCUUUUGGAUGGAUUUACAAAGACCUGAAAAUGUAUUUCUGUUGUGAAAGAUAAGUUGCUUGUUGGUGGUGGGUUAUAAAGAGAACUUAUCUUCAAGUAGUUAGGUAAGCCUGGAGUUUGCUUUUCUUCUCGCUGACGUAUGAUGAUGAUACAAUUACCACUGUUAUUGAAAUUAAUAACACCGCCAGUGGUGCACUUCAUUUUAUAGUUUAAAAUAAUGAUUCUUGAGUUAGAGAUUUUGAUUUGAAGAAAUUUCAAAUGUGGAACCGUUUCCAGUUUCCCUAGCAAGUGAUGACCUCCUGGAGUUAGAGAUUGCCAUCAGGGUUGAGUGAUGUAUGAUUCACUGGCUGGGAAAAAUGGAAAUGGUUAGACAGUUUAAAUUGAUCCAAAUCGAAAUCAUUAACUCCCGAAUCAUUAUUUGAAGCUAUAAAAUAAAGUGUUGCACUAGCACUGUUGUUAAUCUGAAUAGCAGUGGUAAUGACAUCAUCGAGAAAUGCUGGCGAGAACAAAAGCAAACUCUAGGCUUAUCUAAAUACUUGAUGAUAUGUUCUCAUUGCAAUCCACCAGUAAUAAGUAACUUAUAUUUCACAGCAAGAGUUCUUACUCGAGUCUCCAGAAAUCCCACUUAAAGAUUUUAUGAAUGAUUCUCGAGUCGCGCUACAUGCCCUGAUAAAUUGAGAAUUUCAAUUUUCACGUAGGUCAAUGAAGAUUAAUGAAUAAUGAAUGAUAGAAAAACAAGACAUCAGGUAUGCAUCACACUUAGAAGGUGCCUAGACCAAAUUCCUCAGCGGGGGCUGAGAGAACAUUGAUUUAAUGAAUCUAGCACUCUAUCUGAAAUCAUUGUAUAAAUUGUCUUUCUUUGUGGUUUUGCACGCCUUUUUUGACGUCUCACCAUAUUUAGUAAUUGUUUUCACAGUUAUGAAAGCAUUGUAGUCUUCUUUGCCUAGUUGUAUGUAACGACUCGGAAAAUGAUAGGUUGAACUAGAGCCUAAUCGUGAGGGUAAACGUCAAGGUACGUGUUAGACUCCGUAGUUGAAGGACCCUUUUUAGGUUUGGUAUGGGAUUGCAAGGGCAUGUGCCAAGGCAAGGGGGGCAAAGCCUAGCCAAAAGCCAAGGCUACCCAACCCUUGACCAAGCACUGCCAGGGUUCACGACCAGUUGCAUUGACCACGGUCCGUGAAGGGGUCCGUGAAGACCCCUUUGGCCUUGUGGGAGAUGAGUUAAGUUGAAGAGGCUAAUGCCUCAAAGACAACAGGCACCACCACGAGCCGUGGUACCCUAGACAGUUUGUAUAAGUGGUCGUGAAGAUCACUUGGUUGCAUAGGAAGCAAGGCAACUUGGCCAAGCUACUGCCUCUAUGACCACGACCAUCACCACAACUCAUGGUCUUGACCACGGAUCGUGGGAGGUCUCGUGGUCUUCCCUUAGGCCCUUGAGGGUUUGGAAAGGUGGAGAGUCACACUGGUCAAGGGACCACGGGCACCACCACGAGCCGUGGUGCCCCUCACGACCCGUCAAAAUGGGUGUGGUCCCUGACGGGUCUGCCUUAGUUAGGGGUUUUUUUGUAAUUUCAUUUUAAUUAAUUAAUGUGUGGGGUUGUUUUUAAUUGUUUUAUAUCACUAUUAUAUAUAGUUUUAAGUCUUAAAACAAGUCAUUUACUCCUUAUUUCUCCAAAAUCCAAAUCAAAACAAAAGAGUUCCUCCUUUAAAAAAUUCUCUCUCUAGAAGUUGCCAAAGAAGAAGAAGAAAAAGGGGAGCUAGGGUUUGUGGAUUCAAGGUGUUCUUCCUCAAAUUUCUUGGGGCUUUACAAGCAAGGUAUGGUUAUCCUUCAUCUAGGGGUAGCUUUCACCCCUAGAGUCCAUUCAAAGUUAGUUUUCAAAGUUUUCAAGUUUCCCAAACACCUAGGGUUUUACUCUAACUCAUGGGUUCCUUCUUCAAACGUUAUCAAAUAGUUAUUAAUGAUAAAUUCUGAAUGUAUUAGUUUUUAAUUGAUGAUUUAUGAUGAAAAUACUCUAUGAACCCAUGAAUUCUCUCAAAUUCCUAAAUUGUGCCUUUAUGAUGUGGGUUUGUUGAUUAUGAAAGCAUGUGAAUAGAAUUUGUCUAAAUUACUUUAGGUUAUUGAAUUGUAUCAUUAUCCAUGCCAUAAUUUUAGUAAAUUGUUGGUGUGUUGGUGAUUUGAGAUUCAUGGCCUUGAAGGGCAUAAUAUGAGGAAUUGAGUAUUAUCAUGAUGUCUUGUAUAUGAAUGUGAAUCUAUUGAAGGUAAUAUGAUCUUGUCUUGAAUGUAAUUGUGUUAUUAAAUAAAGGCUAUUUCUCAAUUUAACACUCAUGAAUGAUGAUGAUAGAAUGUGAAGCUAUAUCUUGAAUUGGUAGGCUUAUGCAUCUUUUUUUGUAUAAAUGAAAGUAAUGUGGAUUGAUGGGUCUUGAAUUGGUAGGCUUAAGGCAUCCUUUUCUUGUAUUGAUAAAAGUGACCUUGAAUGUAAUAUCACCCUUUCAUGAUGAGGCUAGAAACUAAUGUGAUGAUAAACCUUCAUUCGGUAGACCUAGUGUUGGUAACCCUUUCAUGUGUGAAAUGAUGAACCUUGUAUCGGUAGACCCAAUGUUGAUGGCACCCUUCUUGGAAAGUCAAUGAGUUAUCCUUAAUGUACCUUGAAUCGGUAGACCUAAUGGUGGUGGCCCUUUCUUGUGUAAUGUACUUGGGUCGGUAGGCCUAAUGUUGGUAGUCCUCUCAAGUACAAUAAUGUUAAUGAAAAUGAAAUACUCUAUGGGAAUGGAGGCUAAGCACCGAGUGGCCCAUUGUUGGUGGCCCUUCUUGGGGAUUCAAUGAGUUAUCCAUGUAAUGUACCAUGAAUCGAUAGGCUUAUGGUAUUCCAUUCAUGUGUAAUAUACCUUGGGUCGGUAGGCCUAAUGUUGGUAGUCCUCUCAAGUACAAUAAUGUUAAUGAAAAUGAAAUACUCUAUGGGAAUGGAGGCUAAGCACCCAGUAGAUAUGGUAAGAUUGAAACUCUCCCAAUGUUAGGCUACGGUUCCAAUGAACAUUUUCAUAUCCCAUAACUAUGUGCCCACAUAGGAUAUUAGCUAGUGGUUUCGACCUACACUAAAAUGUUACCAGUCCUAUAUUAGGCAAGUAGACCACCUCUUUAUGGUGUGGGGCUAUAUGACACUAGAUUCCAUGGUUUGCUCUCAUGGUCUAUGUCGGUUAAUGCCUAUUCCGAUCAUGUGAGAUGUGCAUUAUGGUUUCUUGAGAAGUUCUAUGAAGUGUGGGUGGUACUAUAGGAUGCCAUACAUGCAUUGCAUGAGUAGGCUUUGAGAGGGUCAUAGUGAUUCUCUAAUGUCUUAAUCACUAAUGAAUGAAAGUGCUCUUAAUGGAGCUAAUGAAGAAUGUUCACUUAAAUGUCUAAUGUGUUGAUGCAUGCUAUAUUUGGGUUGUAUUAUGAGUUAUUUUCCCUUGUAAUGACUUAUGAAAUGUAUGUGUUCCUUAUGCAUGAGUAUUGAUUGAAGACAAGUCUGAAAUGGUAAGUUCAUCUAAGGUGGCCUCAACGUGGCACUUAGUAGGGAUAGUAGUAUGGGAUGAUAUCAUUACACUGCACAAGUGUAGCUUAGGGCUACUUAAGGUGAAUGUUCAAAUGUGAUGAUUAUGACUUGUAUGAUGAUUAUACUUGUAUUUUAUGUCUCUUAUGCUAAUGUACAUGAUAUUUCUAAAAAGUGGCAUAAUGCAUGGUUUCCGACCAAGAUGUCCCUUUAAAAGGUUGUUUUUGCAUGGUCAUCAUACUUAGUACAUUUUUUUGUGCUAACCCAUAUUUCUCUUAUUUUACUACAAGUGUAGGUUCCGGCAAGUGAGUUGCUAUCCCUUUAGUUCAAGUGCUUGGAUUGAGUUCUUGCAAGGCGAUUGGUAUGUCCUCAUACAUUCGAGGACACAUAAUUUAGAUGUUUCUUUCUUUCAUGCAAUAGACAAUUGUUAGACUUUCAAUUUUAAAGGGUCGUGUCCCUACCUUUGUUUCAAGAUACUGUUUUAGAUGGCCAUGUGAGAUAAUAGACUUUCGUUGUUUCAAAUGUUUUAAAUGAGUAUUUUUUUUAUUGUAUGGAUUUAAAGAAUUUUUUUAAAUUCCGCACUAUUUUUAUGUAUCGAAUGUUAUGAAUGCUAAAAGGGUUGUACGUGACCCCUUCGGGGUCAAGUAUGCCGUGUAACUUCUAGGGUAUAGGCUCGGGUCGUUACAUUGUCUACCUGGUUAUGGUUGCCCCUUCCCAGGGGAUCCCUUCAAUAUCAUUGCCCUUCCUUACCUCAGCAUCCGAAAUAUCUUGCAUUUUUUUAUUCAUGUACUCAAACUCAUCUACAUCAGAAUCAAAGCUACCUAAGUCUACACCUAGGAACUCAUCUACAUCCAAAUCAAAGUCAUCCAAGUCUAUGCCUUGCAACUCAUCUACAUAGGAAUCAAAGACACCCAAGUCUACACCUUGGAACUCAUCUAGUUCUUUCAAUUCAUAUUCAUUUGCAACAUAAUCUCCUUGUUUAUGGGACAUGUUACACUCCUAUAAUUGAUCUAGGGGUGAAACCCUUCCCUAGAAAGUCUCCAGAAAUUGACGCAUGGUGAUCUCUCUGUCUGAGUUUUCUUCCCCUAAAUAUGGGGUUCAUGCAUAUAUCAUUGGCCCUUGUUUUGUUAUUAACAUAACCACUAGUCAGAUCGGUACCAUAUAUUGCUCAUAGACGCCUGCAAUAGUGGAAACUCUUUGAAUCUCUACCAGUAUCGUAGAAGCUUCGAUACCAUAUGAGAGAAAAUAGAGAAAAAUAUUAUUGAAUUGUGUAUCUACAAUAUUAGAUUGAGACUCUAUUAUAGAUAUUACAUUAGACUCUUUUUCCGACUAGGACACUACAUUACAAUCCUUUUUUCAAGUAGUAUUUUGUAUUUAUUUUUUUAUGUCAGCGGCGUCAGACCAACUUUCAUGCGCCUCGACUCAUUCCAUGGGAUACCUAGCACCUCCCACCAAUAAUAGGUAUCAGGAAACUCUGUCCACCAAUGCUAGGACAGAUGGGAAGAAUCACCUAGUAUUUUUUGUCUGCGCUAAGUUGUGUUGUCCAGCGGAGCCUAGAAGAAAGUGACUCGCACAGAUAGCCAACUACUUUUAAAUAAAAAAGAAUAGUCAAACCAAUCCAGUUGGCUGGUCAAUCUCAGAGAUUUUAUCAACCGGCAAAUUAGGGACGGACGACCACGAGUGGCCGAUGAUGUAAAAGAUAUGCCAGAAGCUAGCCAACUCCACUUUCUAACGAGGUUAGGCGUGGACUAGAAAAUGAAAACUACUAAACAUGGGUCUCAUCGAAUGGAAGUUCGGAGAUGGAGAUCCGAUUUGGCACAAAAUCAUUAAGGUUUGGGGGGCGUUGGUCAAAGUAAAGGGAAGAUCCUGCUUCUGGGAUGGAGUUGUAUGACGCGAGAGUUUCACGUAUUGAUCUUUUGGGAAGAGUGUGAUACCACCACCUAUCAGACCCAACGAGCGGUCCAUGGAGCUGCAUUCCUACUCACCUAGUCUAUGCACAUCGCUCUCUCCAGGAGGUUGGCCAUCUAUCCUAGAUCUUCCCAUUUUAGAGCAGAUCCCGAACUCGAUCUGGACUGUUGCAAAUAAGAUAUAUCAUCACGUCUUUGAUGGGAUUCUAUAUCAUUUCCCUAUUUGGUAUUGUUCCAUCUGAGCUCCUACUCCUGGACCACUAUAUGAAUCAACCUGAUAAGGACCCUGAAUUGAUGGAAUUCAUAUGACAAUGCCUACAAACCAGGGGACUUUCACUUGAGAGUACGAUGUCAUGGUGUGAAAUUUCUAGGAAAUUGUGACCACAUUUCUCUGGAAAUUGUGACCACAUUUCCUCUCUCUUGACCAGACAACAAUAGUUCUGGAGCUUUUUUCAUCCAAGAAAGUGAAAAUAUUCAACUGAGAAGUUCUUGUUGCUAAUAUUUUCCCAUCUGGCUUGACAGAAACCCACAAGAGUAACCAGUUAAUGCAGAAACAAAUUAAGCAUAGAAUGUUGCUUGCUACAAGGAGAAAACCACUACAGGAAUGCUAACACUAGGUAGACACAAAUGGAGUAAUGACAUGUAUUCAGAACAUUUGUGAUCAAGUAUGACAUGAGAAGAAUCUUGCUAACUCUUAGCAAAGGGGAUCUGGUAUCGUUGUUGGGAGUACCCAUUUUGCAUUACAAAAACUAUAGACAGGCUAAAAGAUACCAAUAGUUCAGUAACUCGUCUAGAUUGACUUAAAUGCAAGAUUCUCAAAAUGUAACCAUCAUCAAAGAUAAUGAAAAUGUAGGUAUAAACCUAAUGAAAUAGAUAAAGAUGAUAUUGCUUUAGUGGAAGCUUUAAACUUGUGCAGUAAGUUCCCCGACAUGGAAUCAAUUUUGCAAACCAGUCCAUCAACACCAGCCGUAAACAAACGAACCAUGUGAAGGGAAUGGAUCGCAUUGACACCGCUGCUCACAAAGGUAAAAUUUUAAUCAAGGCUUAACCAAUCGAUGACCACCUAAAGUUGGCACAAAUUUUCACUUAAACACCUUAAUUAGGCUUUGUGCAUUCUAGACACCUCAUGUCAUGCCCCGUUGUGUAAGUUUGACACUUUUUGCUGAUAUGACAUAAUGAGUGAGAUACACUUACUACCAGCGCGUGAAAAGCUUAUUAAAUUCAUUUUUAUUUCAUUUUUUUCAUCUUCUUCACCAUUUUUUAACCACCAUCUCCCAAAACUUAAACUACUUCCACGGAGAAGUAGAUUUGAUGGUGCUAAUUAGUUAAAACAAAAACAACCAACAUUAUAGUAGAUCAGGCUAUAAUUAAUUUGAUUUAUGAAAAAACAUAGAACCAAUGGAGAAAAACAAUUAAGAAAGAUUGAACAAGAAAGUCUUGCGUCUUAAGUGAAGAACUAACAUAUACUUGAAAGAAAAAAUUUCACUGAGAAAACGAUUUGGGCGGCGGAGGGUGGGGGUCAGGUGGUGGGGGGAAGACGAUUUGGAUGGGGGAGGGGUUUAGGGAUUGGGUGGUGGGAAAGGGCUUGGGGAUCGGAUCUGGGGAUGGGGUUACUGGAGAAGAUAAUUAUUAUAGGCUGCGUUUAAAAAACAAUUGGGUUUAAAAACGACAUGUGUCAUUGAGUGAUUGACCAUUUUUUUCUAUACAAAUUUCAUUAUUUAAAAAUUAUUUUUGACAUAUAUGCCAGGUGUCUUUAUUUAAUUUGUCACUUUGACAUGUACUCGCGAGUGUGUUACACACACCUUACACAUUUGGUUGAUUGUCAAAAAAGUGUCAAAAAGACAUAACGGGGUAUGACAUGAGGUGUCUAAAAUGAACAAAUCCUAGUUAAAGUGUCUAAGUGAAAAAUUGUGCCAACUUUAGGUGGCCACCGAUGGAUUAGGCCUUUAAUCAACGCGGGGAAGACAUGCCAUAUCAGAAUCUUAAUAUAUGAUAAGAUUUACAAAAAUAUAGAAAAAUUUACCUUUGAACUGUGAGAACGGUGAAUGUAAAAAGACCAGAGAAAGCUUCAAGAUGGAUAUAGUACAAGAGGUGUGAUCUAUAGGUCAUUACUACUUCUGCUAAUACGUUUUAUCACUAAGAGUUCUUCUUCACUUUUACAACUUCAGGAUUCCAAGAAACUAGAGUUGCAACAAAAAGCCAUAAAUUGAGGAAGUCACAACAAAAGCACUAAGCAACUAAUGACAACAUAAAAACAAGAGUGAAACAUUGUAAAAUUUUAUUUUUAUCAUAAAUAGCAGGGGUGGACAAAUUCAUCCAAAAUCUCCCUUCUUCUAAGUAGGACGCAUGUGCUAGACAUCAAAACUUAGCUAGGCAGAUGGGCCUUCACUAAUAUUUGAACUUGAGAAAUCAUGAUUCUCCUCUAAAUUCAUUGAACACUAGGCCACACCUUGAGUGCAUGUGCCUCUAUAUAUGUACUUGUUGACUUGCGAUCGAAAGUUGUUUUAUGUUUUCUUCAUAAUAUGUCAUACACUUUGCAUGCAUUUACAUGUUUUGGAACUCACGUUAGGUGCUUUAUGGAUUGUAUAUGCAAACACAAGUAUGAAGACAAGUCAGAAGGACCUCACAGAGCCAAGCCCACACCGAGACCUAGAGGCUUACGGCACCAGUCCCAGUGCGAGUUUUGCACCCAGCAGGUGCAUUCCCAUGGCGAGCAAAAGAGGCUUGCGGUGCCAAUGCUAGGGCGAACCCCAUUGCUUCACACCGCAAGGUGCAUCAAACGUGGACAAUGGAAUUUUCCUAGUUCGAUUUGGUGGGCCCUUUUCUGUAUUUUAAAUACUAUAAAUAACCAUACUUAGUCUGUCUCGAUUACCAUUGGUCGGUCUGCUAUCCAGUACAAACCUUUGUCCAAGUAAUCUUGAAUUAGAUUCUUGAAAUGUACACAAUUAUUUGUAGAGUGAGUCCAUUUCUCAUGCCAUUUUUAGGAGGAGACGACUAUUGUGGAAGCACAUAGCAAGAGCAAAGGAAAAAUUCUCCUAGGGUUAACUGUUCUUCUCUUUACUUAGAAUUAUUUCUUGUUUGUAACAUGAAUUAUAGCUUUUGUAAUCAGAUUGGAGAGGCUAAAAGCCCUCUUUCUAGGGUUAUGGCCAUAGUAUGAACUUCGUCUUGUAUUAUAUAGUUGUUAUAGCGAUUUUCUACCAUAUAUUUUGUUCUCUUAAUCUUAUACUUACUAUUUAUGUUGAUUUGUGAUCAAUAGGAUAAAUGAAUAAUCUCUAAUGGAACUUGAGAGAAGAAAGUUGGAGAUAGAACUAGAUUAAGGGGAGUAGGACGCGUUCUGUGAAACGGAUUUGCAGCUAGGAUAGUUUGUCCUAAUUGGCUCCCAUAUAGGAGAUAUAAAUGCAUUCAGAUUAGUUAUGUCCAUCAUCACUUAAAAAUAUAGGUGUAAGGCUAAUCUGGGUAGACAGUUAAAGGCUCGAGAGACCAUGACUAUAAUAUCAACUUUGUGAGUCAGCAAAAUGGUAGAAAUUCGCAUCGCAAUUGUAUAUAAAUAUGAAGAGAUUACACAAGCACCAUAGCCCAAUGUAUUAUCUUCUCUAUGAACAACCUCUAUGAUAUCAAUCUUAUUUACCUGUCUCAUUUUAGUUAUAAUAAAUAGUGUAGUAUAGUAUUGAAAAGUUUGAGAUAUUUUUGUUAUUUUUGUUGUUACAGGUGUUAAUAGAUUGAUCUUAGUUGUUGUGGGUAGAUGACAAGUUUUAUGCAAAACUCUGACAGGAGGCAAACCCCUCAAAAGUUGAAGGAAACCUAUAUCCAUUCCAACUGAAACCCAAAAGGUUCCUUUAUCAGAGGUUGAAGGAGCAAGCCUGGUUGCAAGUACAACGCAACCCACCACUUGCAGUAGUGGCAGCUCAACCACAAGCCCCAAUCGCAAUACGCGAAGUAGAAAUCCCACUAGUAGAAAAUGUAAACUAUAAUAUUAUAAAACCUAACAUUACUGGAAGAUGGGAGCUGAAGUAGAAUACGGUGCAAUUAUUGCACACAAACGAGAAGUUCACAUGCUUACCAUAUGAGGACCCAUAUGCUCAUCUCUAGAAUUUCCUAUAGAUCGCAAAUACUUACAUCUCUAGAAUGUCUGAUCGGAAUGUGAGACUCACUUUGUUUCUGUCCUCUCUGUUAGGGGAAGCCGAGAGGUGACUUACAGUUGAACCUACCAACUCUAUCACUUCAUGGGCUGAUUUAGCAAAAAUGUUUCUUACAAAGUUCUUUCCAUCUGGGAAGAGAACUAAAUUAAGGAGUGAGAUCUUGGAUUUUAGGUAGAGAAGAGGUGAAGGCUUUCCCUAAGCACGACAGAGAUUUAAAAUGUUGUUCAGUGAGUUCAACAAUCUCAGUUGUUCUGUUGUGGAGGUGAUAAUUCAACAGAUAUUUGUAGAGAUAACCCAGAAUCCAUACAUUUUGUGGGAAACGCAAGUAGAGGCACAAGAAACCAAAAUUUUGGGAACAACUACAGCCCGAUUGGAGGAACCACCCAAAUUUCUCAUGGUAAUAUAUCAUUCGGGGACAACUAGAUGAGAUCUGAUUACCGGAGGCACGGAAUACUAGGGCCCAAGGAGGUCUACCUAGCGAUGUAGAUCCUAAUCCAAAACCAUUUAAUGUUGUGGUUACAAAAAGAGGUAAGGAUUUGGUUAUAGAGUACCAGAAAGAGGAGAAUUGUGAAGCAACCUACACUGGCAGUUGCUAGGCCUCCUCCAUUAGGAAGAAGUUUGAUAUUUUUUUUUACAUGUUUUUCUAGUUAAAAUUUUCCUAGUUUAAAAGUUUUCUAAUUAAAAAUAGGAUUUGAAUCAUAUUAUUUGGAAUAGGUUUCCCCUAUAUAUAGGGGGGGAUUUUGUUAUUUUCAAAAGACUUGAUUAAUAUUAUUUGAGAGGUUUCUCUUCUUUACAACUUGAUGUAUGGUGACUAUAGAUUUAUCUUACAAUAUUAUAAAAACGAUUCUUUAAAAGGUAAGAUUAAUUCUUAACUUGAUAUCUUUUAUUUCUAUUAAAGUAAUUAAAGAAGGUAAUUAGUCUUAUACUAAUCAUUGUCUCUAAUUUCUUCGAAAUAGGGGUGUAGAUCACUUUUGAUCUAAGUUCUUGAAUUGACUCUUAUAAUAAUUAGUCUCCACAAAUUUUGAAUACUAAGACACUUAGAGUUCUUAGCGCUUAAUUUUGAAAUUUGAGGAUUUUAUUCUCGAAUUUUACAUAUAUUUCAAUUCCUAUUUUUCAUCUUUGUAUUUUCACUUUCACAUUUUUUUCUUAUUUAUUAAAGUAACCCAAUUCUUAUCAUUGAACCCUAUGGUUUCUCUAUAAAUAGUCGCCUAGUCAUUUAUAAUAUGGGUUCCACAAUUCCUGAUUAACACUCAAUACCUACAAUUUUUCUUAAGCUUAAACUAUAAAGCAUUUUGUUCUCAAGUUCACUCAGACUAAUCUAGAUUCUACCUUCAACUAUUUAUUAUUGAUGCACUCAUUUAUGUUCAAUUUGUCGUCAUCUAACCACACUUAGAAAUUCAAUUGUACCAUUUUACGAGUUAAUAAAUCGUCCAAAAUGAAAAAAGAAAAACUAAAAGGCACAACAUAUACAUGCAGAAAACAAAGUCCAACUUUCCUUCCCCAAAUUCUAAGUUGUUAGGUAUAAACUAAAUUUAUGAUAAUUUCUCACCUCGUCGCCCUCUCUCACACUCAAGGUAAUGCUGCAAGAUACGAUUUUUGUUUGGCACUUUUCCCGCCUCCAGAGUCAAUUUCACUAACUUUUGGAGGUAAUAUGACAACAUCAAUUCUAUUUUCCUAAAAGUUAAAGUUGAAUAGCCGCAAACUAUACAAAAAUUAUAAUUAGCUACAAUUAUUCAAGUACGGAAAAAUGGUGAAAAAAAAUAAUUAAUGCGAAUGAAUGAAAAAUAUUACCUUGAUACGGCCAUCACCAAAGAUGAUAGCAAAGAAGUCCAAAGAGGGACUGAAACAAGUCAAGAUGUCCCUAAUAUUUGAUGUUCCCAUUGUUGAAACUGAUGGUAAGAAGGCCUGAAACGAAGCUAAUUAGGUUAAAACUUUGGCUUGUGGUGGUCUGUUGGGUGGAAAAUGGGGGUGCCACUGAAAAGAGUGAAAUAACAAGGAUUUAUACUUGCGCGUUGAAAUAAUGUGGCUUCGAAUUUUUGUUUGUAAUUUUUGGGUUGUGUGUGCGGGUUGGGUUGGUGGGUUGCAUUUUAUUUAUGUACUUAGCUCUUGUUUGGGUGUAAAUUUUGAAGUUGAAACUUGAAAUUUGAGUGUUUUGAAUUGAGGUUUUGUGAGUGGAAAUUCAAAAAAUUCAAACACUGUUUUGGCUUUAUUUUUUGGAGCUUGAGAAUAUUUGAAGAUCGAAUUUUCAAAAAUCUGAUCAUAUUUCAUAGUCAAACAGCCAUAUGAAAAUAAAUUUGAAAAAUUUACUCCCAAAAUCUUAUUGGAAAUCUUAGGAAAUACUUCAUCACAGAAUUCUUUUAAGCUUGAGGCAUGUAAAAAAUACCGUCUUUAAACAUACUUCAUCCAGUAUAUAUAUAGCCCUUAAAAUUCAACAAACUCUUCUAAUAUAGACCAAGAGGCAACAUCUUAAAAAAAUGAAAUAGAAAAGAAAUUCACUAGAACAUGUGAAGAAGUAAUAUGUUUAUAUCUCUCUUUCUCCCCAAAGAGAGAGGAUAUAAUAUAAGUAUAUAUAGGUGUGAAGAACUCAAAAUGAUCACAACAAAAUUUCAAAAUCUAAAUAUUUACUGCUACUAGGAAUUAAUGGUUCAAGGAUUUAAUUCUAAGAUGAUAAAGGCUAAUAAAGAUUGGAGUAAAUGAGAAAGGUAAUAGGUAAUAAUGGGAAAAUAUUAUAAAUAUCAAUUGCAUCAUUAAUAGUUGAAUCAAAAGUAAUGACCAAUCAAUGAUUGUUUAAUGGAUAAACAUAAAUAUUAGUCAAUGAUCUUUUCAAAUGUACUUGUAGAAAAAAUAAUUCUUUUGAGAUAUUAAAUACUCCCUCCGUCCCAAUUUAUAUGACACUUUUUGGAUUUCGAGAUUCAAACAAGUCUAUCUUUGAUUGUAAAUUUUUCAUAUAUCUUUUAAUUAUUUUGAAUAUCCAAUUAUUGUGAUUUAUAGUACUUUUUACGUAGUUUACAAUUAUAUAAAUUUUAUUUCAAAAAAAAUUGAGGAUUUCAUGUGCAAAUUUCGGUCAAACUUAAAUUGUUUGAUUUUUAAAAAAUGAAAAGUGUCACAUAAAUUUGGACAGAGUGAGUAACAUUUUUUUCAACAAAUCUAUGGUGAAAUGGUAUCUUAAAUUGAAAAAUAAAAGUGCAAUCCCUACUCCAGCUUCUUUAACCUUGUCCCUUCUCCAUCUCAUCUUUUUUUUCCCUUCAAUAACUUCUUAUGAUUGAGUUUAAUUGGGUAAUGUUUGAUCCUUAUAUAUAUUUGAUUGAAGAAAAAUAUUAAUAUUAUCUGAUAUUGAGCUUUAAAUAAUAGGAGAAGCCAAAGUGAAUUUAUUAUUUUUAAGAUUGAGGUUUUAUUUAACUAUUAAAACUGAUGACAUUGCUAUUAAAAAAUUAUAGUAAAAUUUAAAAUUAACUUGGAUCCAAUUAAAAAUAAAAAUAUGUUACUUAAGUGCUUUAUAUAAUAUAUGAGAAAAUGGCCAAAAGACCCCCCAACCUAUAGUCGGAUUCCCAACUACACACUCAUACUUUACGGGAGUCCUAUUACCCCCUUGGACUAUUUUAAAGUGUAGUUAUUUGCUCCCUAAAUGCUGAUGUGGCAAAGAAGGUGUAGUUCACUCUCUUUGGGAGAGUGAGAGAUAAAAAGAUGAUUAAAAUAUUAACUUUAUAAAUAUUUAAUUUAUUUCAUAUUAAUAUUUUAAUUAUAAAAAAAUAAAAAUUAUGUUUCCAUUUAUUUCUUUUACCUUCUUUAUCUUUUCCCUUCAAUGUUCAUAAGAUCCAUAGACACAGGCGGGCUCACCUCGACCACCAGGGUAAUCGCCGCCAUAUUCACUUUCACUUCCAAUUUCACCUCCACCGUCGCUGUAAAUCCGGUGAAAUCGUAUAUCUCCAGCGAACUAACAAUCACUUCCGGCUCAAUUUUAACGGACGGCUUUAGCACUGUUGUCACAAGGGAGUCCCAAUCUUCAAGUAAAUGUUGCCUAAUCGAUUCGAGAAGUUCAAAAUCAUUCAUAAAUUCGCUGUUCAUCAACUUUUCAUCACUAAGCCAAUUCAUAACUUCAAAUCACAUACUUUUCAUCAUAUCUCCACUUUUCAUCACUUUGAAAAUUUGUUGGUAGGUCAAAAUCAAAAUNNNNNNNNNNNNNNNNNNNNNNNNNNNNNNNNNNNNNNNNNNNNNNNNNNNNNNNNNNNNNNNNNNNNNNNNNNNNNNNNNNNNNNNNNNNNNNNNNNNNNNNNNNNNNNNNNNNNNNNNNNNNNNNNNNNNNNNNNNNNNNNNNNNNNNNNNNNNNNNNNNNNNNNNNNNNNNNNNNNNNNNNNNNNNNNNNNNNNNNNNNNNNNNNNNNNNNNNNNNNNNNNNNNNNNNNNNNUCUGUCUCUAGCCUUAGAGAACAAGAUCGAAGAUGUGGUAGUCAUGGCAUCCCGGUCGUCAAAUCUGCAGAAGCUUCAAAGAAAAAGAAAUGGAAGAAUGGAAAAGAAAGAGAAAAGGAGAAGAUGAAAAUAUAUAUAAAAAAAAGUAAAAUAUAAAAGAAUAAUUAAUUUUUUUUAUAUAAAAAAGGGGUAAUAUUACGUGGCAGCGCGUGUUGAUUACUACCUAAUACGAAUCUGGGCGUGAGUUUGUAGGGGGCUAGAUAUUUCACUUUUAAAAGGUUCAGGGGGGUGAUAGGACUCCCGUGAAGAAUAAGUGUGUAGUUGAGAAUUCGGUAAUAGCUUGGGGGUGCUUUUGGCCAUUUUCUCUAUAAUAUAUAUUAUCGUGAUUAUCAUGUUCUGAAUUAUCAAAAUUUCAAUAGUAAAUAUUUGAAAAAACAAGCGUGACACUCCUAGCAUAUACUGAAAAUCUUGAAGAAUCAUAAUAAAUAUUUGAAAAAAUUAUGUGACCCUCCAAGUAUUUACUGAAAAUCUUAAGAAUCAACAUAAGUUAUUGUUAAAGAAAAUUCUGGCCAAUAUUCAAAUGAUAAAUCAUUACUUUAAAAUCCUGACAAAUUACCAUAAGCUCUCUUAACAAUCAUUGGAACCAUGUUUUUAUUUUUUAGCAUGGAGACCAUGUUUUAAAGAUUUUUUCUUUAUGAAGCUAACUUUAAACUAUCGCAUCAAAAAUCUUAUUUAUGCAAAUCAUUUUUAAUUUUGUAUGUCAUGUAUAUGUCUGAAUUUCACGCCAGAUAUGAAGCUAUUAUAUGUCUAAGCUUGGCGAGGUCACAAAUCUAGUAAAAAUUGUAUGAAAGUUGACCUUGACAAGUAAUUAUAUAUUUGAUGCAUAAUUACUAUAUGUCUAAAGUAUAGUCUUGCCAGGACUACAACCUUAGUCAGUAAUGUUUGAAAGUUAACCUUGACACGAUCAUAACUUUAGUAAAAAUGUCUUCUAAAUAAAAAAUUUAAAAGCAUAACUAGUAAUUCCUUAACUUUCCUCCAAAUAUCAUUUAUCUUUUCUUUAUUCGACAACAAUGAAUUCAACUACUUCUUACUUUUCCCAUAGUUUUUGUGAUAGUUAAAUGAGCAUUAUAUUGAAUCAUUUGAAAUCUAAGUAAGAGAAUAAUUGAAAACUUUCCCAAUCAGAUAGAAGAGGAAUAACCUAACUAAUUAGGAAGAAUCGACUCGUUAUAUCUUAGAAGCUACUCCACUAGUACUUCAAUUGGAAAUAGAGAGUCAGAGAGGAAGAAAAUGGGGGAGGAAGAAAUAUGUGAAGGUUGGAGACUUACUGAGAUUUAUGAUCCCACCACAAGACGAGGCACCUCUGUUAAAACCACUUCAGGUAACCACUGAUCCACCGGAUGAUGUCUCUAUAAGGAUAAAAGGAAAAUUAGAAAAUGAAGGAAACAAAAAAAAAAGAAUAAACUGAAAACCUACCUCUGCUAGCUAAGAAGAAGAAAUGGCGAACAAGAGGAAGGUGUUGUGACCUAAAGCGAGUGGAAGAGGAAGGUUGGAUUCCACAAGGCUCCUUGCGGCGACACAGAGAGAAAGAUAGGGAGCUCAAAUUAGACACCGUACCUUUUAGGAAACAUGUUAUAGAAGUUGAUAGCCUCUCUUAGUGGGCUGGGCUUUUCGUUUUAGCGUUGUUUUUGGGCUAAACCAAUUUUGGCUUGGUCUUUUACUUAUUUGUACAGACUUAAUUAAUUCGAAAUAAAGGAGAUCGAUCUCAGAUAUUUUGUUUUUAAAAAAAUCUUAAAAGUUUUAUGUGUUUAAAGUUGGAUCUUGUGUAAGUUUAUCUAAAACUUCAAUCUAUGAUUUCUAAUUUAGCUUGGACCUAUGAUUCUUCUUGUAUCCUAAAUCAUCUUCAAUACAUCUCAUAUAGUUAUUAUCAUGUCAAAAUGAUAUAGUACCAGUCUAUAGUAUCUUCAUGGCAUAUGAGAUUUUUUUAAUAAUAUGUGUGGCUCUCAAAAUUCAUGAUAUGCAACUCUUUAAGAGUAAGCACAACUAUAUGCCCCAAAACAUUAAAGAUAAUUGAAUCUGGUCAAUGUUGCAGACGAGACAACGAAACAACUUCAUUUUGGGAAACCUUGACCCAAGUGUAGUUAUUGUCAUAACUCAUAAGCUUGGACACAGUCGUGACAUAUGUUAUAUUUUGCAUGGUCGCCACCCAGUUAUGAUCCUAUUGAUCUAAAGGAGUAUAAUGAGUUCCUUCGAAAUCAAGCAAGUAAGCAGACAUCUCCACAAGUAACGAUUGCUCAGCAUGAUCGACCAUCCAUUAAUGCUCAUAUACUAAGACAAGAUAUGAUGAGUUCCUUCAGUAUUGAGAAAGUAAGCAGACUUCUCUACAAAUAUCUUUUGUUGUUUAGCCUGAGCCCUAAUGAUUUUGCUGUUGUUAAUUUUGUUGCUUGUGUUUCACUGUCUAGUACUCUUGGAUUAUGGGUCAUGGACUAAGGUUCUUCUCAUCAUAUUUUUGGUAACAAAGCAUUUUUUUUCUGAUAUUGUUUAUUCACAAUAUCUUUGUGCUAUUAUUUUAGCCACUUGGAUUCAAACAAAACCCAAAGGGAUCGGACAAGCUAAACUCCAAUCUUCUUUCACUCAAGACUUUGUUCUUUUUGUCUAUUUUGCCCUUUUAAUCUUGCAUUUGUUAGUCGUUUGACGUGUGCUCUACAUUGUGGCAUAACAUUUUUUGAUAACUUUUUUAUCAUGCAAGAUUGCAGUACGAGACAGAAGCUUGAAUCACAAGGCCUUUACAAUCUUACCUCUUCAAAUUCCUUCACAACAUGCAUGCUCUAUUAUAGAUCCUCCCGACCUAAUUCCCAGACAUUUGGGACAUUCGAGUCUAUCUAAUGUGUAGAAAAAAUGGUGCCUAAUUUGUUUAGUUUAUCCAAAUUAGAUUGUUAGUCGUGUCAACUUGCGAAACAUACCCGUUCAUAUUUUUGCGUUAGUAUUGAGGGUUGUUCAAAGUCUAUUUUCUCGUUAGUUCAUUUUGAUAUUUGGGGUCCUAAUGGAUUCAAAUCAACCUUAGGAUUUUGUAAUUUCGUUAGUUUCACUUAUGAUGAUUCAAGAUCCACUUGUGUUUUCUUAAUAGAUCGUUUCAAGUUAUUAUUUGUAUUCAAACUUUUGCUGAAAUACAAAAUCAAUUUGGUGUAUCUUGAAACACCUCGGAAAUCAAACUUAAAACUUUCAGCAGAAAAACCAGCAGAAGCAGGUGAACCGCGACAGGGUUCAUGGACCGUGAAAGGAACCACGGUCCGUCGACCUAUCUGUAGGUUCACACCCAACCAAAAAGAGGUGGACCACGGGAGCCUUCACGGUCCGUGGACCACCCCACGAGCCGUGGGAAGGCUCGUGUAAGCCAUACAGAACCUCCCCAGCUUACGCAUAUGACCACGGAGCCCUCCAUGGGUCAUGGUCUUGAUGAUAGGCCGUGGGAGGGUCCGUGGACCUGAGCCAGCAGACCACCAGCCCAAGUGAAGAACCACAUCGACCUUCACGUUUCGUGGUCCUUCACACGAGUCGUGGUAGGGCUCGUGGUUGAACCACCCAAAACCAGUAGCUACUGGCCAAGGACCACGACUCACUUGACGGUCCAUGGUCCCUGUGACGGUCCCUCAUAGGGCCCAUGGUCGGCCCUCGUCAGAUUUUAAGUGGGAUCAUUUUGGUCUUUUUCCCUAUGUGUUGGACACUUAAACUACAUUGUUUAACCCCUAAAUUACGUAGUUUUGGUCAGUUUGAGCCUAAUAACUUAAUCAGAACUUACCCUAAUCAAUCAUUCACCAAAAACUAGAGCAAAAAGAAGAGAAUUCAGGCGUUAGCAUCCUCAAGAGCAGCAGCAAGGUUUUCUUCAGUUCCAGCCUUGAAAUUGAAAGAUUUCUCCAUGAAAUUAGUCACCAUGUAUGUGGGAUUUCACUAGUGGGUUCCUUUCACCCAUUAGCUCCCUAAAAUUCAAUCAUAUUCUAGAUUUCCUUCAUAUUAUCUAGACCUAGGAUUUCUAGAAUUUCAGAUAAUUAUUAUGAUUUAGUUGUUGUAACAUUCUUAAUCAGAUUAUCGUAUCUUAGUAUCGUUUUUGCGUAGAUUCUUGCAUGAAACUCAGAACCCUAGUUGUGUAGUUCUUUUAGUUCAUGAAUUACACUAGCUAGGAUAGAUAAACAAAUAUAUAUGCCUCAGUUUUCAGAUGUUUCAUUAUCAGUACUUAAUGUUGUAUUUUCAGUUAGCAUGUCAUAAUAUUGAGCUAUCCAGUUCACUUCAGUUAUGUUACAAUUUACAUAUUCUAGUUGGGAAUAGGCUUAUCACCGAGUUGGACUAGGGUCAGUCACCCUCAUAGUCCCAUGACUACGUGCCCCCGUAGGUUAAGUCCCCUAUGUGGGCAUCAUUUUAGUGAUCACGCCAGUCAUGCCUUUAUACCUCUGGAAAGGUAUAUUGGGUCUUCUCGAUGGGGUGUAUAGAUCUAACUCCACGUUUAGCUCACGUGGUUUUAUGUCGGUUAUUAGUAGCUCCCACAGUCAGAUUCUAUUGCAUUACCAGGUUAUCAGUUACUGGUCAAUAUGCAGUUUCAGCAUGUUAUAAAUUUGGUCAAUACAUUUAGUUUAGUUCAUAUUCAGUAUGUUCAAUAUAUUUAUCAUGCUCAUCUCAUAUCAUUGCUCAUUAUUCUUUGUUUAGAUAUGUAUAUUGUUCAGCUUUAUUCUAUCAUGCAUGGCUCAAUACAUUUUAAGUACUGACCCAUACUCUGCAAUACAUCUUCUCGUGAUGUAGGUUCAGGUCAUCAGCAUUCAGAUCACCCAUAGAUAGGUUCCCGAUCUCCAGUUCAGCAGUAUCAGUGGUGAGUCCUCAUUCUUCGAGAACAAUAGACAUUUUUUUUUUACUUUCAAUCUUUCAGUUUCAGUUUUGCUAGAGUUAGCUGGGGACAUCUCCCAGCAUCUCUAGUCAGUUAGAGAUAUGUAUUCAGACAUAGUUAGAUUCGGUUUUAGUUUGGAGUUUGAUCUUUCAGUUGCCAUUAAACUCACAGUUUAUACAUUCAUAUAGUAUUAGGUAUUCCCCAUUUCAGUUUAUAUCAUGAUUUUAAGAUUCCGCACAAUAUUUCUUACUUCAAUUUAUCUAGUAUGCUUAUGAUAUGCCAGCUCAGGGUUAGCUUAGGUUCACUCGUGAUCCUAAGUCCCGUGUUUAUGCCUCGGGGUAGCCUCGGGGAGUGACAUUUCUAUUCAUACUUUUUGCAAUGACAAUGCCUUAGAAUACUUAUCCUCUUAAUUUCAGGAAUUUAUGACUCACCCAAGGAAUUCUUGUAUGUAUACUCCUCAGCAAAACGGUGUAGCCGAAAAAAAGAAUAGGCAUUUUAUUAAGACUACUCGCACUCUUCUCCUUAAUUCCGAUGUUCUACUGUGAUUUAGGGCAAUAAAUAGAAUGAUGAAAUCUUCUAUUUAGAAACAUGUUUCACACGGCAUACUAUUUUCUCAGUCACAUCUAUCACUAUUCGCCCUCAUUUCCUUGGGAGUAGAUACUUUGUUCAUAACCUAGCUUAGCCCUAAGGAAAGAUAAAUCAAGCCUUCAUUCUCGUAAAUUCGUCUUUCUUGGUUACUCUCCAGCUCAAAAGGGGUAUUGUUUUUAUUUACCUUAUCUUCGUCGAUACCUUAUGUAGGACGAUGCCACAUUCUUUAAAUCUCAACCUUACUAUACAUCUUCUUAUCAUCCUGAUGUCUCUGAGGUCUUACUCAUACCUCUCAAGUCUUACAUGUACCGACGUUUGAGAAACCUACUAUUACUUCUACUUCUCCACUUGUAGUUCCAUCACCUUGACUUAUCAUCAGUUUCCCCGUCUACCACUAGUCUUAGAUGAAUUAUGUCAUGCGUCAAACAAUGUUGUUACUACGGACUUGCUUCCUCCUAGCCAACCGAUUGCAUUUCAUAAAGGUAUACAAUCCACUCGAAAUACUAACCCAUAUUAUACUUACUUGAGUUAUCAUAAUUUAUCAUCACCCCACUAUGCCUUUGUAUCAUUUGUCCUUUAUUUUCAUCCCUAAGACUAUGGGUGAAAUACUUUCUCAUUCUGGAUGGAGGUAGACUAUGAUUGAUGUGAUGUCUGCUUUACAUACGAGUGGUACUUGAGAGAUAGUCUCACUUCCCGUAGGUAAAUCUUCUAUUGGUUGUCAUUGGAUUAAUACAGUCAAAAUUGGUCUAGAUAGUUAGGUUGAUAAGGCUCACCUUGUUGCCAACGGGUAUACUCGGUAUUUGGGCUUAAAUUCUAGUGACACUUUCUCUCUUGAGACUAUGAUAACAUAUGUUCUUUUUCUAUCUAUGAAUGUCAUUCAUCAUUUGUCUCUUCAUUAUUUGGACAUUAAAAAUGUUUUUUCUGCAUGGUGAUCUUGAGGAAUAUAUCUAUAUGGAGCAACCAUCUGAUUUUAUUAUUUUGAGGAGUCUAGAAGCCUUAUAUGUCCAUUGCACAUGUCAAUCUAUGGUCUGAAACAAUCUUCUCGAGCAUGGUUUGGGAAGUUCAAAAUCGUAAUUUAUGAGUUAUGGCAUAACUUGUAGUGAAGCUGAUCACUCUGUAUUUUAUCGGCAUUUUCACCAAAUCUAUGAUCAAGAUGGUUAUUUACCUUGAUAUUAUCGUUACCGCCAACAAUAAUCAAGAUGGUAUCACUAAUUUGAAGAAACAUCUCUUUCAACAUUUUCAAACUAAAGACCUUGAUAGAUUAAAGUAUUUUCUAUGUUUUGAGUUUGCUUAGUCCAGAUCAAGUAUUGUUAUUUCGCAACGCAAGUAUGCUUUAGACAUUCUUGAGAGACUGGAAUGAUUAGUGUAGACCCAUUGACACUCUUAUGGAUCUGAAUGCUAAAUUCCUUUCGAGACGGCUGGUUAGGAAGUUGAACUUUCUCAAAGUGACUAGACCUGGAAACUCUUUUCCAAUGAAUGUUGUAAAUAAGUUUAUGACUUCCCCCUGUAAUAGUCGUUGGGAUGCAAUUUUUUGUAUUGUGUGAUAUAUAAAUUCAGCUCCCGGUAAAAGAUUACUUUUUGAGGAUCAAGACCAUGUCCAUAUCACUAGAUAUACAAAUGGUGAUUGGUUAGAUAUUGUAUUUUAGUAGAAGAUAAUUUGGUAUCAUGGAAGAGUAAGCAACUGAGUGUGGUUGCUCGAUUUAGUGCAGAAGCAAAAUAGCGAGCAAUGGCUAUAGGAACUUGUGAGAUAGCUUGGUCAAACAGUUGUUGAGAGAAGUAAAACUUGUAGAAAUCAAUUCGAUUGAAAUUGUGUAUGAUAAUCAAGUGAUCCUUCAUAUUGCAUCAAAUCCAAUGUUUCAUGAGAGGACUAAGCACGGUGAGAUUGAUUAUCACUUUGUGAAAGAAAAGAUAUUCUCAUGAAAUAUUGUUACAAAAUUUGUGAAGUUGAGUAAUCAACUAGCACAUAUCUUCACCAAGUCUCUCACCAGUCCUCGCAUCAAUUAUAUUUGUCACAAGCUUGGUACAUAAGACUUGUAUACACCCGCUUGAGAGGGAGUGUUAGAAUAGGAAUAGAAACAUGAAUAGUAGAGAAUUCUACUUGGAACAUGAAUAUCAUAUAGCAUCAUACUUGAAAAAGGAUUAUAUAAUAUCUAGAAAUAGGGUCUCAAUGUAAUAAUGUAGAUACACAACUCAAUAAUACUCUUCUCUUAUAUUUCUUCCAAUUUGAAUAUGACUUGUGCUGCUUAAUAUCUCCUUAUUAGCAUGUUAUAAAUAUGUGCUUUAAACUUGUUCUUUAAGAGAUUGUAUUUUCCCCAUGUUUGCAUUCUACAUUUAUGUUUUAUUUAUGUAAGUUUUUAGAAUAUUAUGCUCUAAACUGAACAUUUUUUAUCCGGCCCAUUCAUUUGCGGAUACUAUUAGGGUGUUUAGUUUUUUUAACCCCUUGAUGGAAAACUUGCCUCCGCCACUAAAACCAGCCAAAUAGGAGAGCACAUCAACAAAUACCAAAACCAAAGUAUAUAGAAUUUUGAAAAAAAAAAAAAAAAAAAAAGGAACCAAGAACUUACCGAGGUAUCAUGAAUGGAGACGGUAGAGACAAGUGACGCCAUCUCGUCAAUGAACACACCACAAGAAAGGACCAUCUUUCAGGCUUCAGCAACAACCAGUACACCAGCAGGCAACAUCCAGCACGCAGUAGCAACAGAGCAUUGUAGUCUUGCAGACUUGAAGUGCAAGAGGAAGUCGACUGCUAAGAGAUUGAGGAGGAGAAAAAAAUAUACAGCUAGAAAAACCCUAGAAGAAACAGAUU